CAAUAGCGUAUAUUAAAGUUGUUGCGGUUAAAAAGCUCGUAGUUGGAUUUCUGCCGAGGACGUCCGGUCCGCCCUCUGGGUGUGUACAUGGUACGGCCUGGGCAUCUUCUUGGAAAACGUAUCUGCACUUGACUGUGUGGUGCGGUAUCCAGGACUUUUACUUUGAGGAAAUUAGAGUGUUUCAAGCAGGCCUACGCCUUGAAUACAUUAGCAUGGAAUAAUAAGAUAGGACCUCGGUUCUAUUUUGUUGGUUUCUAGAGCUGAGGUAAUGAUUAAUAGGGAUAGUUGGGGGCAUUCGUAUUUAACUGUCAGAGGUGAAAUUCUUGGAUUUGUUAAAGAUGGACUACUGCGAAAGCAUUUGCCAAGGAUGUUUUCAUUGA
rnacentral:rRNA from 1 species